rnacentral:sRNA from 1 species
UUGACAUAUCUACAGACUGAAAGUCUCUAUUUCUUCACAGGACAGAUACAACACUGUUGGUGAAUGUGCAAACUUCCCCACACUGCUCUAACAAUGUGCCUCAAGACUGACAUGAAGAGAUCACCUCUAUAAGAGAGAAGGUACUCUAUUUAAGUGUCCGUUGAGUCAGUUGCUGCCCUUU